CUUAAUUUCAAGAGAAAGCCAAGAGACCUUGUCUGUGGAGCAGAAUGGUUUCGGUUCCAGGCUGACCCAGCAAGUGUCAUUGUGGCCUUUCCCCUUACCUGUCUGUCUGCCCCUCUCCCCCCAUGUUUAGACUUCCUCUCUGAUGGGUUCAUGUUCUAGAGUAAAAACAAAGCUCAUGCAGGGAUCCUGUUCCCCAGAGUUACCAACCGUACCACCUGCUCAUCACCGGUUCCCAGUUUGCUUCCUUGAAGUCUGUGUCCCUCAGCCGCCGUGCCUUCCAUCUAGCUCCCAGGAAGCGCUGCGGCACCACCAUCUAGGUUCGAAACCCUGCACCGCUGCCCUUCUUGUGACUUUUUCAGUGAAUAACUGUUGAGUUCCAUUUAAGAAGUAAAUGGUAGUUACUUUCAUUACAUAGAAAAAGCCUGAAGGAAAUAUACUGAACUAUUUUUGAGGACUUAUUUUUUUCUUUGUGCUUUCUUCAUAUGUUUUACAUUUUCUACUGCAAAUGUAACUUUUAUCAGAGGGGGAAAAAAAGGGGUUGCCACAAAACAUUCAACCCUACCAAAAAAGGAAAUGCUAUUUAAAAGCUUCCUGGUCAAAUUUCUAUUAAAAGCAUGGCUGUGCUUUAGGUUCUGAGGCCAGUCAUUUCCUGCUUUGGUUAUGUUAUUUUUUUUCCUACUAACUACUUAAUCCAAACAAAAACAGUUUUUGCCUGAUUUCAACUUCUAGCUUCAGGUUUCUCAUCUGUAAAAUGAGUUGGUUUAGAUGUUUCUAAGGUCCAUUCCAGCCAUAAAAUUCUGUUUUAAGAAAUGAAGUUGUAACCAGCAGAGUGUUGAUAAUACUUACUAAAGAGUUUUGCCAGUAGGAAAUGGCCUAACCUUAUUUUUUGCUGACAUAAUAUUCUACUUCAAAUGUAGUGUCUAUCAGCUGGGUCUCCUCUUAAUUCAAAUAAGCAAUUUUUUUUUUUUUUUUUAACCCGCAAACAUUUUGUAAGAAACCAGGCACUUAUUUUAUACUGGCCAUUCAUUGUGAAUAUAGAAUAAAAGUAAUGGUCAAACUGUCAUUCUAAAUGGAAACUUUUGUUAAGAUUUCAACUCAGAAUCAAGCGUGGGUUUUCAAAUCCGCCCCACUCACACGUGCUGGUUUCACUCAAUUGGCUUACCCAGUGUUUGCCCCAUGUAUUUUUUACUGACCUUUUAAACAUGUUUGUCUUCUGGCAUCAUCUUGAACUUAGCGAAAUUGUUUCCUCUUUUCCCAGAGGUGUCCAAGCCAGUGUUGGAUGAAACUUGUUGCAAGUCAUAUAUUUUGCUGCAGGAAAACAAGUCAGGAUGUCGAUUGGUAGUUUGGUAGUUUUUACCGACCCUCGGCCCUUGCAGCAAUGGCGGUUUCUGGCUAUGCUACAGUGGGAUGCAACUUUUAUUGUGGGGAUGAAUGAAGUGAAGUAGAAUGAAAGGCAAGUUUUGUUCCUCUAAUACUGGAUUAACAUAGAGACGUUGGAUGAUACCUGGCAGUUUCUGUGACAGGUGUAAAAUGAUGUUCUCCAUUACUGUUUCUGUACCAGUAAGUCUUAGAUGAGAUAAGCAGGAAGAGGUGAGGAAUUAUGCAUCCAGUUAGAUUACAUUCUCCAUAAAGAGGAACAGUUAUCCAGGGAACUGUCAAUUCUCUGGUGACCAGAAAACACUUUUAAUUAGUAGAGAGGUUUUUCUAACUUAAGACUUUAAAGCAAUGUUCUUUACUUGUUACUCCUCAUUUUUUUGGCUUGCCUCGAUUAAGUUACACUCGUCAUUUUAUACAAAACACCAUUAGGUGUUUUUUUGUGAUGCCUAGCUCUACAACGCCUAAGCAGCGCAGUGCCUUAAAUGAAAAAUGGACAAUAGUCAUUUGUAUAUUUCUUUUGGAAUACAUUUUUCGCUAAAUUUCCCAGACUCGCAUGAUAAGCUUAUAGUUAGCUUCACAGUUGAUACCAUUGCCAUCUAUGGAAUGGGGUCAACACUUCCAAAUUCCCAGUAUCCAGAAAGAGGAUUUGAUGAAACCUGGUUAGAUGGAUCUCUACAGAUUGUAAUAUUCAAUUCCAGCCUUCACUUACAGUCAUGCACUUGCAAGGAGAGAACUACUGGUUUCUCUAAAUGUCACCUAAGCCUUUAAUGAUUUAAAGCUUUUUCCUCCCCCCAAAUUGUUACUAUAAAUUUAUAAGAUACUAAAAAAUAAUGCCAGAUGGGGCAUACAUUUUGUAGAAUGAGGAGAUGUGGUGCUCUUUUUUUCUCUCUCAAAGUGCUUUCUCAGCAGGACACUAGCCCCGCCUUGAGGACAAGAGGGAAGGAGAGGCGGACUCUUCUGCUCCCUCAAGGCUUGCCGCUGAAACAGCCCUCCUGGAAGGUCAGCAAAGCACACUGCGUUGCUGCUGCCCAGUGGGGUUUCUGGAAGAGAGCACCUGCUGGAGAUUCCCUGCCCCUGCUGACCGAUGGCAUCCGCCCAGUGCUCCUGCCCAUGGACUUCAGGGUCCAAGCUAAAGUGCCAACGGGGAAGAGAAAGUACGGAUUCCUAUGUUACAAGAGAGAAAUGCCGCCGGUCUUAGAAGCCCAUAAUGACUUACUCCAGUCCUCAGGAGAGUGUAAACAUUGAGGGACAGGGACACUGUCCCGUUCACCACCGAAGUGGUGAGUGCCACUGCACAGCGCCUGGCACAAAGUACACACUCACAGACUUUUAGUAAGGAGCAGCUAACGAAAAUUCUGGUUCACGCCGGCCGAUUUCUGGUAGUUUAUUUGUCGCAUAAAAGGAACCUGAAGUGAAGAUGUGAAAUAACUUUCCAGCCAGUCAGCGGUGUAAUCCGGGUUCAAGCCCAGGCCUCAAGGCAGAGCUCCUGCAUGCCCACUGGGAAGCCUACACACAAGUACCUGUUAAAACCAGAUCAACAAGUGGGGGCACCUGGGUGGCUCAGUCGGUUAAGCGUCUGACUUCAGCUCAGGUCAUGAUCUCACGGUCCGUGAGUUCGAGCCCCGUGUCGGGCUCUGUGCCGUCAGUCCAGAGCCUGGAGCCUGCUUCGGAUUCUGUGUCUCCCUCUCUCUCUGCCCCUCCCCCACUCACGCUCUGUCUCUAUCAAAAAAUGAAUAAACGUUAAAAAAAAAUAAAACAAACAAACAGAAAAACCCAGGUCAACAGGUAUGGAAUUGUUGAAUCACUGUAUCAUACACUUGAAACUAAUAUAACACUGCAUGCUAACUCUACUGGAAAAAAAAAACGAACAA